rnacentral:rRNA from 1 species
GACGUAGGGCGCGAGCGUUGUCCGGAUUUAUUGGGCGUAAAGAGCUCGUAGGCGGCUUGUCGCGUCGACUGUGAAAUCCCGCGGCUCAACUGCGGGUCUGCAGUCGAUACGGGCAGGCUAGAGUUCGGUAGGGGAGACUGGAAUUCCUGGUGUAGCGGUGAAAUGCGCAGAUAUCAGGAGGAACACCGGUGGCGAAGGCGGGUCUCUGGGCCGAUACUGACGCUGAGGAGCGAAAGCGUGGGGAGCGAACAGG